AGUGAACGCUGGCGGCAGGCCUAACACAUGCAAGUCGAACGGUAACAGGAAGCAGCUUGCUGCUUCGCUGACGAGUGGCGGACGGGUGGGGAAUGUCUGGGAAACUGCCUGAUGGAGGGGGAUAACUACUGGAAACGGUAGCUAAUACCGCAUAACGUCGCAAGACCAAAGGGGGGGACCUUAGGGCCUCUUGCCAUCGGAUGUGCCCAGGUGGGAUUAGCUAGUAGGUGGGGUAACGGCUCACCUAGGCGACGAUCCCUAGCUGGUCUGAGAGGAUGACCAGCCACACUGGAACUGAGACACGGUCCAGACUCCUACGGGAGGCAGCAGUGGGGAAUAUUGCACAAUGGGCGCAAGCCUGAUGCAGCCAUGCCGCGUGUACGAAGAAGGCCUUCGGGUUGUAAAGUACUUUCAGCGGGGAGGAAGGGAGUAAAGUUAAUACCUUUGCUCAUUGACGUUACCCGCAGAAGAAGCACCGGCUAACUCCGUG
rnacentral:rRNA from 1 species